rnacentral:rRNA from 1 species
UGAGGAAUAUUGGUCAAUGGGCGAGAGCCUGAACCAGCCAUCCCGCGUGCAGGAAGACGGCCCUAUGGGUUGUAAACUGCUUUUGCGCAUGAAGAAUGUUACCGACGUGUCGGUAAGUGACGGUAAUGCGUGAAUAAGCAUCGGCUAACUCCGUGCCAGCAGCCGCGGUAAUACGGAGGAUGCAAGCGUUAUCCGGAUUUAUUGGGUUUAAAGGGUGCGUAGGCGGCCUUGUAAGUCAGUGGUGAAAACCUGCAGCUCAACUGUAGGCGUGCCAAUGAAACUGUGAGGCUUGAGUGACGUUGAGGCAGGCGGAAUGUGUAGUGUAGCGGUGAAAUGCUUAGAUAUUACACAGAACACCGAUUGCGUAGGCAGCUUGCUAAAGGUUAACUGACGCUGAUGCACGAAAGCGUGGGGAUCGAACAGG